UACGUAGGGUGCGAGCGUUGUCCGGAAUUAUUGGGCGUAAAGAGCUUGUAGGCGGUUUGUCGCGUCUGCCGUGAAAAUCCGGGGCUCAACCCCGGACUUGCGGUGGGGUACGGGCAGACUAGAGUGUGGUAGGGGGAGACUGGAAUUCCUGGUGUAGCGGUGAAAAUGCGCAGAUAUCAGGAGGAACACCGGUGGCGAAGGCGGGUCUCUGGGCCGAUACUGACGCUGAGGAGCGAAAGCGUGGGAGCGAACAGG
rnacentral:rRNA from 1 species